rnacentral:rRNA from 1 species
GAUUCCUACGGGAGGCAGCAGCGGGGAAUUUUCCGCAAUGGGCGAAAGCCUGACGGAGCAACGCAGCGUGAGGGAUGAAGGCCUCUGGGCUGUAAACCUCUUUUAUCAAGGAAGAAGAUCUGACGGUACUUGAUGAAUAAGCCACGGCUAAUUCCGUGCCAGCAGCCGCGGUAAUACGGGAGUGGCAAGCGUUAUCCGGAAUUAUUGGGCGUAAAGCGUCCGCAGGCGGCCCUUCAAGUCUGCUGUUAAAAAGUGGAGCUUAACUCCAUCAUGGCAGUGGAAACUGUUGGGCUUGAGUGUGGUAGGGGCAGAGGGAAUUCCCGGUGUAGCGGUGAAAUGCGUAGAUAUCGGGAAGAACACCAGUGGCGAAGGCGCUCUGCUGGGCCAUCACUGACGCUCAUGGACGAAAGCCAGGGGAGCGAAAGGGAUUAGAUACCCCUGUAGUCCUGGCCGUAAACGAUGAACACUAGGUGUCGGGGGAAUCGACCCCCUCGGUGUCGUAGCCAACGCGUUAAGUGUUCCGCCUGGGGAGUACGCACGCAAGUGUGAAACUCAAAGGAAUUGACGGAAACUUAAAGGAA